CACAUUGCGCUUUCGGGAUUUUCCCGGUAGCAUGCUUGUCUGAGUGUCUGUGGAUCCCACUCAGCACUGGUCUAUUCAUUUAGUCCAGUCGCUGGUUAAUCUGGCUUUGACUGCCCUGUGCUGUCUUUGCUUAAAUUCUACGAUACGUACGUGCAUAGAUCUAGAAAAGUCUCUGUCUGUCUGAAAGACGGCGUUGACAUCCUCAUCUAUCUCUGGUAGCUUGUCUCCUGAGUUUAACUGAGUUUGUUAUCAGCUGUGUGCCAUACUAAGGAGAUUCCUUCUAAAUCUAGCUUGCAGUUUUACCUGCUCGCUAUCCAAUUCCGGAUCUCAGAUCAAGCAAGAGGACCCGCCGAAUUUAAGCAUAUAAUUAAGCGGAGGAAAAGAAACUAACUAGGAUUCCCUCAGUAACGGCGAGUGAAGCGGGACUAGCUCAGGAUGUGAAUCUGCGCUUUUAAGGCGCCGAAUUGUGGUCUGUAGACUUUGACGUUAUCUGCCGGCCCAAGUUCCUUGGAAAAGGACAGCUGAGAGGGUGAGACUCCCGUCCGGCUGGUAGAAUGAGUCAUGUGUCAACGAGUCGAGUUGUUUGGGAUUGCAGCUCUAAUUUGGUGGUAAAUUCCAUCUAAAGCUAAAUAUUGGUGGGAGACCGAUAGCGUACAAGUACCGUGAGGGAAAGAUGCAAAGAACUUUGAAAAGAGAGUUAAAGAGUACCUGAAAUUGCUGAAACGGAAGCGAAGGAAACCAGUGUUUGUUUGUUCAUAUUUCCCUGGCCACUUGUGGUUUGGGCGCUGUGAGCUUGCGUGGGUUUGCUUUGGUUGAAUCUUUU
rnacentral:rRNA from 1 species